AGGCGGACCGCCGCCUCCUUCACUGGGAGGUCCGGGUAUGUGUGGGAUGAGUCAUGAAGUUAUUACACCGUCAGUUUCAUUGUCCUGGGCAGCAAUGUUUGUUGGAAGUACUUAUGUGUUUUUUUAAUGUAUUUUUUUCAGGACCAGUUGGCUCGUGGCCUGAUUCCUAAAACGGCAAGCAAGAAAUUGCCAAAGUACCAGUGGUACUGCAGGAUAUGGAGACGGCAGCCCCCACCCGGAGGAGGCGGACCGCCGUGUCCUCCGGUGGGAGAUCCGGUUUGAAGAUGGCUCGCCGUGGACCCCGACUCAUCGACAGCCACCUGGACUUCGCUGCAGAAGAAGGCCUUCCCGAAGUCAUCAGGAUCCUGGAUGACAGUCUCCAGAGCCCCACCUCUUCUGGUGAAGCUCAGGACACUGAUACCC
ensembl:lncRNA